rnacentral:lncRNA from 1 species
GCCGUGGCGGAGAUCUUUGUGGGCUAUACUCGGCCUUGUCUUAGGACGGACCUGAGCCCUAGGACCAUGCCUCAGGACUACCUGGCAUGAUGACUCUUUGCUGUCCCCAGUCCACCUGGCCGUGCUGCUGCUCCAGUUUCAACUGUUCUGCCUGCAGCUAUGGAACCCUGACCUGUUCACCGGACGUGCUACCUGUCCCAGACCUGCUGUUUUCAACUCUCUAGAGACAGCAGGAGCAGUAGAGAUACUCUGAAUGAUCGGCUAUGAAAAGCCAACUGACAUUUACUCCUGAGGUGUUGACCUGUUGCACCCUCGACAACUACUAUGAUUAUUAUUAUUUGACCAUGCUGGUCAUUUAUAAACAUUUGAACAUCUUGGCCAUGUUCUGUUAUAAUCUCCACCCGGCACAGCCAGAAGAGGACUGGCCAACCCUCAUAGCCUGGUUCCUCUCUAGGUUUUGGCCUUUCUAGGGAGUUUUUCCUAGCCACCGUGCUUCUAGACCAGCAUUGCUUGCUGUUUGGGGUUUUAGGCUGGGUUUCUAUACAGCACUUUGAGAUAUCAGCUGAUCUAAGAAGGGCUAUAUAAAUACAUUUGAUUUGAUUAAUAAAUGGAUCACUAGUCACUUUAAACAAUGCCACCUUAAAUAAUGCCACUUUAAUAAUGUUCACAUAUAUUACAUUACUCAUAUCACAUGUAUACACUGUAUUCUAUACCAUCUACUGCAUCUUGCCUAUGCCUCUCAGCCAUUGCUCAUCCAUAUAUUUAUAUGUACAUAUUCUCAUUUCCCCCUUUUUAGAUUGGUGUGCAUUAGGUAGUUGUUGUUGAAUUGUUAGAUAUUACUGCACCUUUCGGAAACCAAGAAGCACAAGUAUUUCGCUACACUCGCAUUAACAUCUGCUUUCCAUGUGUAUGUGACCAAUACAAUUUGAUUUGAUUUGAAAAUAAAAAGGUGACAUGUAAAUGACAGACAAAGGAAAUGUUGAAGUUUAUUUAGUCUUCAUAAAAUAAAGCAUAGCAUUAGAACAGGGUCUACAACAGAGAAUCAUAUUCAUAUGAAGGCACGUGUAAACCUAAACUAAUAUUUUCUGUAAUUUUCUGUAUUUAGCACCACUAGUCUUAUCUAGCAGAUUUGUGAAGUGAGACAUCCAAUGUUAAGAAAUAAAUAUACAGGGGGACCAAACCCACAGUUGUCACUACUGCUACAAUAAACAGGUUAAUUUUUUUUUUUUUAAAGGUAUUGAAGUAUAAUCAGGGUUGGUUGUUGUUGUUGUUGUUCACUGUUG